rnacentral:tRNA from 1 species
CGUUCUAUGGCCGAAUUGGUAAAGACAUCGGUGAUCACAGGCGAGGUUGCGGGUUCAAGUCCCGCUAGAACGA